rnacentral:rRNA from 1 species
GUGAGGAAUAUUGGUCAAUGGGCGAGAGCCUGAACCAGCCAAAUCGCGUGAAGGAUGAAGGUAUUAUGUAUUGUAAACUUCUUUUAUCGGGGAAUAAAGUGCGGGACGUGUCCCGUUUUGUAUGUACCCGAAGAAUAAGGAUCGGCUAACUCCGUGCCAGCAGCCGCGGUAAUACGGAGGAUCCAAGCGUUAUCCGGAUUUAUUGGGUUUAAAGGGUGCGUAGGCGGACUGUCAAGUCAGCGGUGAAAGUCCAUGGCUCAACCAUGGAAUUGCCGUUGAAACUGUCGGUCUUGAGUGUAGAUGAGGUAGGCGGAAUUCGUAGUGUAGCGGUGAAAUGCUUAGAUAUUACGAAGAACUCCAAUUGCGUAGGCAGCUUACCAGGCUACAACUGACGCUGAGGCACGAAGGUGCGGGGAUCAAACAGGAUUAGAUACCCCGGUAGUCC